AUACGGAGGGUGCAAGCGUUAUCGGGAAUCAUUGGGUUUAAAGGGUCCGCAGGCGGAUUAAUAAGUCAGUGGUGAAAUCCUCUCGCUCAACGAGAGAACUGCCAUUGAAACUGUUAGUCUUGAAUUCGGUCGAAGUAGGCGGAAUGUGUCAUGUAGCGGUGAAAUGCAUAGAUAUGACACAGAACACCGAUAGCGAAGGCAGCUUACUAGACCUGGAUUGACGCUCAUGGACGAAAGCGUGGGGAGCGAACAGGAUUAGAAACCCUAGUAGUCC
rnacentral:rRNA from 1 species